UACGGAGGGGGCUAGCGUUGUUCGGAAUUACUGGGCGUAAAGCGCACGUAGGCGGCUUUGUAAGUUAGAGGUGAAAGCCCGGGGCUCAACUCCGGAAUUGCCUUUAAGACUGCAUCGCUAGAAUUGUGGAGAGGUAAGUGGAAUUCCGAGUGUAGAGGUGAAAUUCGUAGAUAUUCGGACGAAAGAACCACCAGGUGGCAG
rnacentral:rRNA from 1 species